rnacentral:rRNA from 1 species
GACAGAGGGUGCAAACGUUGUUCGGAAUUACUGGGCGUAAAGGGUGCGUAGGUGGCGUCGUAAGUCGGGUGUGAAAUUUCGGAGCUCAACUCCGAAACUGCAUUCGAUACUGCGGUGCUUGAGGACUGGAGAGGAGACUGGAAUUUACGGUGUAGCAGUGAAAUGCGUAGAGAUCGUAAGGAAGACCAGUGGCGAAGGCGGGUCUCUGGACAGUUCCUGACACUGAGGCACGAAGGCCAGGGGAGCAAACGGG